AACAAACGCUGGCGGCGUGCCUAAUACAUGCAAGUCGAACGGGGUAGCAAUACCUAGUGGCGCACGGGUGAGUAACGCGUGGGUAAUCUGCCUUAAAGUGGGGAACAACUGGUCGAAAGACUAGCUAAUACCGCAUGAGACCACAGAAUCUGAGGAUUUAGGGGUCAAAGAUUUAUCGCUUUAAGAUGAGCCCGCGUUAGAUUAGCUAGUUGGUGAGGUAAUGGCUCACCAAGGCGACGAUCUAUAGCUGGUCUGAGAGGAUGAUCAGCCACACUGGAACUGAGACACGGUCCAGACUCCUACGGGAGGCAGCAGUAGGGAAUAUUCCGCAAUGGGCGAAAGCCUGACGGAGCAACGCCGCGUGAGUGAUGAAGGAUUUCGGUUCGUAAAGCUCUGUUGCAGGGGAAAAAGCAAGUGAUUGUACUCUGCGAGAAAGGGACGGCUAACUUCGUGCCAGCAGCCGCGGUAAU
rnacentral:rRNA from 1 species